rnacentral:rRNA from 1 species
ACGCAAUAGAUACCCGGGUAGUCCUGGCCCUAAACGAUGGGGACUAGGUAGUCGGCCGGCAUGGGCUGACUGCCGCAGCCAAAAAGUGCUAAGUCCCCCGCCUGGGGAGUAUGGCCGCAAGGCUGAAACUCAAAGGAAUUGACGGGGGGCUCACACAAGCGGUGGAGCAUGNGGCUUAAUUCGAGGCUACGCGAAGAACCUUAUCCUAGGCUUGACAUGUNCGAAAGCGGGAGGAAGUAGGGUCCGGAAACGGCACCCGAACGGUACCCAACCCGGAACCUCCCACAGGUGCUGCAUGGCUGUCGUCAGCUCGUGUCUGCGAUGUCGGGUUUAAGUCCCAUAACGAGCGAAACCCCUACCCCAGUUGCCAGCAACGGGACUCUGGGGGGACUGCCGGUGUCAAACCGGAGGAAGGUGGGGAUGACGUCAAGUCCUCAUGGCCUUUAUGCCUAGGGCUGCACACGUGCUACAAUGGCGUGGACAGGGGGACGCGAGCCCGCGAGGGGAGCCAAUCCCGGAAAGCACGCCCCAGUUCAGAUCGGAGGCUGCAACCCGCCUCC